rnacentral:lncRNA from 1 species
AAAUUUUUAAAUUUUUUUUAUUUAAAAUAUAAAUAUAGUUUUUUUAAAAAAAUUUUAUAGAAUGUGAUCGUGUAUGUUAAUUUAAUAAGUUUUAAUUAAUUAUAAUUAUUAAAUUUGAUAAAAAAAAUGAGAGAAUCGUUAAAUUUUAAAGUUCGAUUUACAUAUUAAAAUUAAAUAAAUUAAAAAUUUUAAAUAUGUCGAUUAAUAAGUUGAAGAAUAUUAUAUAUAUCUACUUAUUUAUUUAUAAAUAGUAAAUUUAAAUGAUUAAUAAACUUAUACAAUUAUUUUAUGUUUAGUGAAGGUAAUCUCACCACUCUAUCUGAAAAGGUGACAAAAUUCACAAAUACAACUAUCAGCUUCAUAUUACCAAACAGAAGAAAUGUAACUGCAGCAGUUGCAACUGCGUAAAACCAAACAGACUAGGUGUAGUUACAACUGCAGCAUUUACAACUGCAUGUAUUUUCAACUACACUGUUUCUGCAACUACGUCCAACCAAACAGUCCCUAAUUGGAGUUAAAUAUAUCAAACCAAAAACGAAAUUUACAUUUACAUGCAGUUACAACUACAAUGCAAUUGUAACUACAUGCAACCAACCGGCCUCUUAAUGGGUUGAACCAAACCGGUCUAGAGCAUAU